UACGGGGGGGUGCGAGCGUUGUCCGGAAUCACUGGGCGUAAAGGGCGCGUAGGUGGUUUGAUAAGGGUGUGGUGAAAGUCCGGGGCUCAACUCCGGAUCUGCGGUGGGUACGGGCAGACUAGAGUGAUGUAGGGGAGACUGGAAUUCCUGGUGUAGCGGUGAAAUGCGCAGAUAUCAGGAGGAACACCGGUGGCGAAGGCGGGUCUCUGGGCAGUAACUGACGCUGAGGAGCGAAAGCGUGGGGAGCGAACAGG
rnacentral:rRNA from 1 species